UGAAAGAAGAAAUCGGCAAAACUAUGAUCCGAGGAACACGAACCAUAUCAGGGAUAGCCAAUGAGAUGAGACUCCAACACAAGUCGGAGUACAAAGAUUACAUGAACAUAGUGAUGUAAAUAUAAAGGAGAGAUGGAGUGAAAGUGGAUUGU
rfam:Daphnia pulex DAPPTscaffold_4222_Cont15505, whole genome shotgun sequence.